GUGCAGCAGUCGAGAAAACUUCACACUGUGCGAAAGCACGAUGAGGGAAUCCCAAGUGCUUGCACGUAAGUGUAAGCUGUUUCUCUGUCUAAAACGCAGAGAGAGUAAGGGCUGGGUAAGACGGGUGCCAGCCGCCGCGGUAAUACCUGCAGCUCAAGUGGUGACCGUUAUUAUUGGGCCUAAAACGUCCGUAGCCGGUUUAAUAAAUGCCUGGGUAAAUUGUGUAGCUUAACUAUACGAAUUCCGGGUAGACUGUUAAACUUGAGACCGGGAGAAGUUAGAGGUACUCCUGGGGUAGAGGUGAAAUUCUGUAAUCCUAGGGGGACCACCAGUGGCGAAGGCGUCUAACUAGAACGGGUCUGACGGUGAGGGACGAAGCCCUGGGGCGCAAACGGGAUUAGAUACCCCUGUA
rnacentral:rRNA from 1 species